GACGAACGCUGGCGGCGUGCUUAACACAUGCAAGUCGAACGGAAAGGCCUCUUUCGGGGGGUACUCGAGUGGCGAACGGGUGUGUAACACGUGAGUAUCCUGCCCUCUUCUUUGGGAUAUCUCCAGGAAACUGUGGCUAAUACCGGAUAGGAGCUCCUGCUGCAUGGUGGGGGGUGGAAAGUUUCGGCGGUUGGGGGUGGACUCGCGGCUUAUCUGCUUGUUGGUGGGGUGAUGGGUUACCAAGGCGUUGGCGGGUAGGCGGCCCGGGGGGGGGGCCGGCCGAAGUUGGGCUGGGGUACGGGCCAGACUCCUACGGGGGGCAGGAGUGGGGAAUAAUGGACAAUGGGUGGGAGCCUGAUGCAGGAACGCCGUGUGCGGGAUGACGGCCUUCGGGUUGUAAACCGCUUUCGCUCAUGACGAAGCUUUGUGUGACGGUAGUGGGUAAAGAAGCACCGGCUAACUACGUG
rnacentral:rRNA from 1 species